UUGUCGUUAUACAGCCAUGUUCAAAAUUUUUGGGGUCAUUCAAUUACAACCGUUAUGCUGCCGAAAUUUCGGUAGAAUUUAGAUAAAAUUUGAUAUAUAUAUUAUGUUCUGUUUUGUUUAGGGUCCACUCGCUAAACCGCCCUCAAGACGUGAUGCAUCAAAGGGGAAAGCUCCGAUGCUUUCUCCACAAGGCCGUGGUGCACGGGAAGAUGACUUGUUCACGGAAGAGAAGAUGGCGUUGAUCCCUAAUUCGCUAAAAUGGAUGAUUCAUGAAUUCCUAAGUCUCAAAGAUAAACGUGAUAUAAUCACAAUUCCUGUCCCCCGAGCAUUCAUUGCACCGCGUACCCAGAUCACGUUAUCUGGAGAGGAUUUGCAGCAGGUUGCUACGUGUGACUACAUCGGCAACCAGGGAAUGCUGUUUGGAAUGAUGCACAUAUGGGAGAGCAUCAACGGUCUGAGAAAAAUUUUCAAGUUUUACGACCCAGAGCUUCUCACAGUGCAUGGGAUCAACGAUGAAGAACAGAGUCAGUCUUUUGACGAUGCGGCAAGACGAUUGGCUAAUUGGUUAUCAUUAAUGAACAACAACCACCAAAUGUUCUUUAUUCCUUGGAAUAUCGGGUAAACUUUAUUAAAUUCUUUAGUGCUAAUUGUUCAUUUCUAUAUUAUGUCUUCAAAUUAUUUUUAUACUAUCUUACUUAUAUUCCAAUAUAAUUUUCUAGGAUGCAUUGGACGCUAGUGGUGGUUGCGCCAGGGAAAAUUAUCCAUUUAAACCCUGUAAAAGGCCGCCCAAUUCCCGAAGAAAUAGAACAAAUGAUCGGAAGGUAAUAAUUUAAUGACUUCUUAUGUAACGAAUUUAAAUUAACUAACGAAUUGAAAUGCUAAUAUAAUUUUCCUAAACAGGGCAUUCAUGUAUAUAGGGGACGCACAUCAGUAUCUUGGCCCGUGGCAAGGAAUUUCACAAGCAAACUGUCCAAGACAACCUAAAAGCCAAGAAUGCGGUUUUUAUGUUUUGAAAUAUAUCACUGACAUCGUCGCACGUGCCAACCCCAACCGUUACAUACAAGAUCAAAAAGCUUUUGGUGGUAAGAAGCAAUACGAUCCAAAAACAGAAUUGUUACCACUACAGCGAAAGUGGAUCGAACAAUUGAUAGCGGUGAUUCACGGUGACGAUUGAGGUUCAAAGGACGAAGAAUUUUUCUUCAUUAUGUUAUUUUUAUAGAUUAACUUGUAAUUAGAUUUAUUAACUUAUUAAUAUUUUUAACUAAUUUUACAUGUUUGUGUAAUAUUUAAUUACUUUUAUGAAAUCAAAUUAUGUUUUUACCCAAAUUUAAUUACUAUUUAAUUUAAAAUGUAAUUAAUAUAUAAUUAAAUUAAAUAAAUAUGUAAUUAAUAUAUAAUUAAAUUAAAUAAAUAUGUAAUUUAAAAUUUAAAUAAAUAUGUAAUUUAAAUUAAAUAAAAUAAUAUAUAAAUUAAUAAAUAUAAAAUUAAAAUAAUAUAUAAAAUUAUUAAA